CACGCCGUAAACGAUGCCUACUAAACCAUAGCACUCUGACUGUGUUAUGGUUGUAACAAAAGUAUUAAGUAGGCCGCCUGGGGAGUACGGUCGCAAGGCUAAAACUCAAAGGAAUUGACGGGGGCUCACACAAGCGGUGGAGCAUGUGGAUUAAUUCGAAGCAACGCGCAGAACCUUACCUGGGUUUGACAUGUUUGGAUGUCUUUCUGGAAACAGAGGAGAUUGCCUCCUUCGGGAGGUGAAACUUACACAGGUGC
rnacentral:rRNA from 1 species